rnacentral:snRNA from 1 species
UUGUUUCUACUAAAUCAGAA